CGGGAACGUCCUGUGAUAAUUCGCGGUAGAUCGAGCAAAGUAAUUUGCCAGGUCGAGCGAUAAAGACGAAGCUUUAUUGGUCCAAUAAAAUUUGUCUCUCUCGCCCGCCAAACGGAAGCGAAAGCUGAAAGGAUAGUACCUCAUGCCUCUGGACGCUUAACCAUAAUGACGGUCUCUGAUUUUUUUAAUGUCUCACAAGUACAGUAUGGAUUCAUUGCAUCAUAACCGUAAUGACUCAUAAUAGCCACUAGGUACAAAUAUGUAUAGUUUAACUUGCUCUAUUGUCACCUAGUACCUGAUACACGUAUUGAGAUUUAUAAGUGACCAUUAAAAAAAAAAAUUACACUUGACUGUAAUUUGUACGGUAACGACUGUCCAGUAACUUGACAAUAAAGUUACUCUUAUCCACAACAGAAAGGACGUUACGCAAAUAGCCAAUCUACUUUCCUGCAAGACUAACAAAACGGCGAUAAAGUGUUAUCAGGAAGGAUAGGGGUAGAUGGUAACUAGAAGACACUGGGUUGAGAUCUAUCUCUGUUAUCGUUAUUACUAAGGCAUUACGAAUCAAGGUAGAAGCAACCUGUGUGUAAGAACAAGUCAAAGUUGGGUAAAGUAAACCCCAAUCUAAUAUAUACGUUACAUGUACAUUCUGUAUAUCUAUACAUAUGUAUAGGUAACCGAAGGGUGAGAAGUUGGAAGUGGAGCCACGGACGGUACUUUAACGUGUUUUCUCCCUUCACGUGUUCAGCUUCGUCUUCAACGUGGUUCCAUCCUAUCCAACCGUUACGUCGGAGCAAGGGGUGUCUUCCUGAACGGUGGGAGAGUUAGCGACGCCAACGCCGGGACGCCGGGAGACAGCCAACAAGAAAUCCGUUCUGUAAGCGGGACGCCGCAAAAGUUUUCGAAUCUUUUUUGCGCCCAGCGGAUGUCUGGGGAAGCGUAAUACGCCCGGGCAUCCAUCAUGUUAAUCUUACCUUGGAUGGAAAGGCAUUACACUCUUAUCCAGGCUCUGACGCCUUCUUCGAUCUUGUCUUUACGUGGAGAGAAAUAAUGUUGGGUCAAUUUUCGAUGGGUCGUUUUGGAUAUCGAUGUUUGGAUCUUUUGUACGCCAGUGUUCGCUCUAGCUGUCUAGUGUGUUCUUAUACGUACCCUGUUUGGUUGAUGCGUUGACCCAUCCACCACGUAGUGCCUUGUGUCGUGGUUCACUGAGGUCGUGGGACGUCACGUUAAGUUCGUUAAGGCACUCGAGUUAGCCAAGUUUCAAAAUUAUCGAUUCAACCAGGUACCUGGAAUCAGUGGACAUGUGUCUCUCCAUGGUGGUCACACUGACUGGAUUUACCAGCAUGGUCAUAGCUUUGUUUAUUGGUUGGAAUUGUAGUUGAAACCACUAUCAGCAAACAGGCUAUUGUAUGUAUGCUGGUAUACAGUGUAAUACAGCUUUGAUCCAAUGCAGAUAGUGAAGCAAGUGGUACAUUAGCCAGACAGGCUUCUGAUCAGUUUUCAAGUAUCCAUUUCUUGCUGAAACAACUUGGGCGAUUUCGUUAAAUUGAAUUAUAGAUUAGGAAUUUGAUUAGAUGAGCUAACCUGGGUAUUAACCAUCUUGAUGGGUUUCUGAAUUCUUGGGAUAUCAGGAAACGGAUCAAGAUGUAGAAUGGUUUCAUUGGUAAUUCGAAUAUGCGGGUUGUUUCGAUAUUUGGGGAUACCUAGGUAGCCAUGAAUUCUUUAGCAAAUUCUUCGUGGAUUCUUGACUGCUUGCGCUUCUCUACCGCUUGCAAUACGAAAUAUUUCAGAUUUCAAUUUUAUUGUCGUUACUCCGCCAUUUUCUUUUUUGGAUAAUCGUUCCCGUACUCCGUUACUUUCGUAGCACCGAGUGUUUUCGUGAAGAUUCUCGCGCGCUAUUCACCACGGAAAUCGUCAUCCAGAGUCAGCAGUGGCGCCAUCCUACGGAAUUCCUGUAAAGCAGCAAAGUUAGGCGCAGGAAAUCGUAACCGGAAAUUAGGUGGAAGUCGCGGUUCGUUUAUGUCGAUUAAACGGUUCGUCGAAUAGCUAUAACUAUUUUCGAAAGUUGAUAUGUACAUAUUCUCUUCUAUUUUCCCUUUCUCCUUCUGCCCCACCCGUAACCCAUUAACGAACUACUUUCAUUCCGCUUUACCGUAAUUCUCAUAUCUGAAUACUUAACGCAUUGCAUUUUCUUAUUGCUUAAUUUCACCCGACAUUUCCUCCUUCCUUCAUUAUCCCAUUCGUACCGCAAACAAUUCAACUCUCGAAACCCCUCUUUCACGGCAAUCCGAAUUUAAAAGCCAACUUGUAGAUAUAACGAAAGGGGAAUGCUAUUAUGGAUGGCAACCUAACCUAACAUAACCCAACCAGUAUACGUCGAGAACCAUCACGGUACGGUUGUUCUAUUCAGAUAUUAUUACGCUUUAUCCCGAAAGUGCAUUAACCUCGACCACGACACAGAUCCGGACAAAGCCACUGCAUCGUUCUGCCCAGCGAUAUGGAAGCCAAGGGACGGUUGCCAACCUCUCGCAACCCGUGCGAAAAUUUUCCUCGAUUUACUUAUACACACUGUGUACAUACAUCGCCGUAUAGCCUUCAGAACUUUCCAUACCGUAGGUGUUUAUCUAAAAAAACAUAUCCAGAUUCUCAUCUACUUUAUAUAAGGGGUGACGGUUAGUUUUGCAAGUAAAUUAUUCUUUCAUGUGCUGACCAUUCGCAGCCAGGAUGGGAAAAAAAAAGCAACUUUGUUUUAUUCCAAUGUAACGCCAACAGCUGGUAGUAACUAUUUAUUACACAUAUAUAAAUCCCAACUGACAGAUCUUCAUAAAUAGUGUUCGCAAGUGCUAUCUACUGUUCUAUUGUUCAUGCCCCUCGGUGCUUCCCACUCGUGAAUUCCCUGCUCAUUUUUCUCGUUACCGUCAAAAACUUCUAACGCUUACACGCGUUUUGUCUACGCCUAUACUAAAAGCAACGGCUUUAUCAAUGUUUUCCCACGGAUUUAUUUCCCCUUUCAGGGAGUUGUCGCUCUGCCGCCCGAGUGCCCUAUGAAAAUGGGCAUGUCUCCUACUCGCAAGACUACGUUGCUCUGCGACAUUUUUCUUUUUUUCAUACAUGUUUUAUCGUACCUUUUUGUUUUGUUCUUUCUUUUUCAAGGUUCUUGCCAGCCAGCCGCGUUUUAGGGGCUAUUUCACCACUGGGAAUUGUAACUUAACCUCGAUUAUCAGGGGUUUCCGGAAACUGUUUCGGGACCAGCCGAACAAAGAAAGUACCUUUUUAUAUCUUGCUGGGAACAUUAAAAAUAAAGUGGAUAGCAUCGCAACCCCGUAAAAUCCCAUUGAACAGUGUACAAUGUUAAUCUACAGUCAAAAUGACGUGAGCACUGAAAUUUCUUACUCCAUAAUUUUCUUUUUUUUCCUUUUCUCUUCUUCACCAACUGCAUACAAUUUUUCUUUACUCUUUUGUAAGCUUCUCAGGUAAUUCCAAUUUGCGUGAUACGAUCUUUGACUUUUAAUGGUUAUGCCUGCAACUUUUUUUUCUUUAACGGUACAAUUGAAGACCGACUCCGCGUAAUAUCAUAUACAACAUAAUCGGACUAAUUUUUCUGCCUCAACAUUGAAAUCUCUAACGGUUAUUCAUCCCUGAAAUUAGUAAAAUCUUUUUGUUCAGCUUUCACUCGGUUUUACUGACUUCUCUUUUUUUUCUUCUUUUUUAAUUUGUUUUUCCUCGUUGCCCCUUUCCAUAUUUUAUUUUCAUCUUCGCCUACUGCCGGGUGAAGCGGGGCGCGGGAGGGAGCGGGGCUCUUUUCUCUCUCUAUCCACCCUUGAUUUCUCCUUCCCCUUCUCGUAUAGGUCGGUACGCCUUAACUGGAUGGUCUUUUAUUCAUGAUUUUUCGGGCGAUUUAUUAUUCCGUUCCUCUUGAACAAUUUAUUAUAACGGACAGGCCGUUACCGUUUAUACAUUACCCAUGCCAUUUUUCCUUAUACGCCAUUAUUCUCGUUAUCGUUACUACCAUCGCCAAUAGUUGAUAACAGUUUGUAUCGUCUAUCGUAACGCAAUACUGUCCGUGUUAUCUGAUAUUGUGUAUCGUCGCGCUACAAAUUGUUAUCAGUGCCCGAAUAGGAAUCGCUUUAUUCUUAUUAUUGUUGUUACUUUGACUUAAAUAAGAACUUGAAGUUGUUCGCAAUUACAAGGAAAUGUGGCUACCUCGAUCAUGUAACAUGAGGGUC